AAGGAAUAUUGGUCAAUGGACGGAAGUCUGAACCAGCCAUGCCGCGUGCAGGAAGACGGUCCUCUGGAUUGUAAACUGCUUUUGUUAGGGAAGAAACUUCCGUACGUGUACGGGACUGACGGUACCUAAAGAAUAAGGAUCGGCUAACUCCGUGCCAGCAGCCGCGGUAAUACGGAGGAUCCAAGCGUUAUCCGGAUUUAUUGGGUUUAAAGGGUGCGUAGGCGGCGUUGUAAGUCAGUGGUGAAAGUUUGCAGCUUAACUGUAAAAUUGCCAUUGAUACUGCAGUGCUUGAGUAAAGAUGAGGUGGGCGGAAUGUGUCAUGUAGCGGUGAAAUGCAUAGAUAUGACACAGAACACCGAUUGCGAAGGCAGCUCACUAAACUAUAACUGACGCUGAGGCACGAAAGCGUGGGGAUCAAA
rnacentral:rRNA from 1 species